rnacentral:rRNA from 1 species
UACGUAGGGUGCAAGCGUUGUCCGGAAUUGAUUGGCGUAAAGAGCUCGUAGGCGGUUUGUCGCGUCUGCUGUGAAAACUCGGGGACUUAACCCCGGGCCUGCAGUGGGUACGGGCAGACUAGAGUGCGGUAGGGGAGACUGGAAUUCCGUGGUGUAGCGGUGAAAUGCGCAGAUAUCAGGAGGAACACCGGUGGCGAAGGCGGGUCUCUGGGCCGUAACUGACGCUGAGGAGCGAAAGCAUGGGGAGCGAACGG